CAGCCGCCACGGGAAUACGUAGGGUGCAAGCGUUAUCCGGAAUUAUUGGGCGUAAAGAGCUCGUAGGCGGUCUGUCGCGUCUGCUGUGAAAACUGGGGGCUCAACCCCCAGCCUGCAGUGGGUACGGGCAGACUAGAGUGCGGUAGGGGAGAUUGGAACUCCUGGUGUAGCGGUGGAAUGCGCAGAUAUCAGGAAGAACACCGAUGGCGAAGGCAGAUCUCUGGGCCGUAACUGACGCUGAGGAGCGAAAGCAUGGGGAGCAAACAGGAUUAGAUACCCCCGUAGUCCCUGUCUCUUAUAC
rnacentral:rRNA from 1 species